rnacentral:rRNA from 1 species
CCUACGGGUGGCAGCAGUGGGGAAUAUUGCACAAUGGGGGAAACCCUGAUGCAGCGACGCCGCGUGAGUGACGAAGUAUUUCGGUAUGUACAGCUCUAUCAGCAGGGAAGAAAUACUUACCUUACGGUCAGCAGACGGUACCUCACUCAGAAGCCCCGGCUAACGACGUGCACGCAGCGGCGGUAAUACGUAGGGGGCAAGCGUUAUCCGGAUUUACUGGGUGCAAAGGGAGCGGGGUCGGCAGCGCUAGUCUUGAGUGAACUCCCAUGGCUUAACCAUGGAACUGCUUUGGAAACUGUGCAGCUGGAGUGCAGGAGAGGUAAGCGGAAUUCCUAGUGUAGCGGUGAAAUGCGUAGAUAUUAGGAGGAACACCAGUGGCGAAGGCGGCUUACUGGACUGUAACUGACGUUGAGGCUCGAAAGCGUGGGGAGCAAACAGGAUUAGAUACCCCAGUAGUA